rnacentral:rRNA from 1 species
UACGUAGGGGGCAAGCGUUGUCCGGAUUUACUGGGCGUAAAGAGCGUGUAGGCGGCCAAGCAGGUCCGUUGUGAAAACUGGAGGCUUAACCUCCAGACGUCGACGGAAACCGCGUGGCUAGAGUCCGGAAGAGGAGAGUGGAAUUCCGUGGUGUAGCGGUGAAAUGCGCAGAUAUCAGGAAGAACACCAAUGGCGAAGGCAGCUCUCUGGGACGGUACUGACGCUGAGACGCGAAAGCGUGGGGAGCAAACGGG